rnacentral:rRNA from 1 species
CUAAACAAAAGGGUCAAAACAAAAAAAGAAAAACACAAAAGGGCGAGCCUGGAACACACACACACGGAGGGCCCACACACACACUCACACUCAGUUAAAGCUGACUUUCUACCUCCGCUCCAAAAAAGGGUCUCCGGAGCCAGAAACGCCCUAAACGAAAGCACACGCGACGGACGCCACCCGGCCAGCGGCCGCCGCUCAUCGCUCCCUCCGCCCGCGGCGCGAGAGCCGGCCCGACCCCCCGCGACCCGGACGCCGCCGCUGGAGGCGACCAGCUGCCAGGGAGCGCGGCCGGCCCGGUCUCCCCGCGCGGCGGCGGCGGACGGACGACGAGUGUUCCUUCCUCUGUUUCUUGGCUGACGGCAGAGGAGAGGAGAGGGGCGGCGAUGUGGGGUGCCAAGGGGGAGGAGAAGGCCGGCGGCGCCUGCGAGGAAUGGAGCUACCAGCUGGGGAACAAGGUGAGAUUCGUACAAUCUCUCGUAUGGAUCCCUCUGGGCGAAUGCUCUCCGCCUUCCUUCGAUUGAGGCAGGGGUUCUUUUGGGUGGCGUUGUUUUCCCUGCGAGUUCGUUCCGGGCGUCAUCUCAGCUGCCCCUUCCGGCGCAGCUCAUCCGGUUUGGUGGUUGAUGCUUCUUUCAUCGCUUUCCUUCCACGCCGCGCCUCCAAACUUCAAACACGGCGGAUCUCGUCUCGUCAGCUCCGAAAUCCAAAAGAGAUGUUGCGCCGGGCGAUGCGGCCAGAUCCAGAAUCCAAAAUACUUUUUCCAUUCUCCUCCUUUUUGUUUACUUAGUGGAGUGCAGCACUACAGUACUACUUCACAUAGUAUAACACUUAGCUUUUUCUCCGACAUUCCGUUUCUUCUUUUUGGUCCAAGUUUUCUUACUAGUACAGUAGUAUAGUACAUCUUGUUCCAUUCAAUACAGUUAUGGAGCGUACUUGAUCCGAACGUUUUUGUUGGUGAACAAGUUAGGAGGUCUGUAGUACUUCUCUUGUUUAAUUUCCGUAUUCAUUGCACAGGUUAGGAGUAGUUCGGCUGGCUGAACUAGGUACUAGCGUUUAUUUUGCUAUCCAUGGCUGCCCAUUCCUACUUUUAGGUCUGAUCUGAUUGUUCUUUGGGAUUCUUUUUUUGUUUGGAAAACUGCGUGCUCUGAUGUUGCUGCUUGUUUUCCACUCCUAAAUUUUAGUAGCUCACUGCAUUUUCUAUUUCGAUAGUGAACUCUUUUUUCUUAGAUUAAUCUUCAGUGUAGUAACGCAGUUUCAGGAACAUUCAAGAGCACACAGCAAAGGCGAUCUUUGCUUCCUUGUUAUAUUGUUCCAUUAUUGUUGGCGAAGGAACGCAAUCAUAGACAGUACAUGGACCAUUUAACCUCAACACAAGCGGGCUGAAGGACAAAGCUCAAGACCUGAUAGUACAUUGAGUGAUCUAGUAAAGUUUGUUUAAAACCGUUUUACAGCCAGGUGUAAUCGAAUCACAGACUCUCUGUCCCUGAAAUUAGCACAGUUACCGAUCCUUGUCAAUCUCGGCGAGUCGACCCUGGUAUGCGAAUUGCGAAACAAGUUUUACUCCUAUAAGGGCCGGAUUGACCGGGUCAGGAAGUACACCCUGCUAGUUUCAGGAAUUGGGAGUUCAGGUUUAAAACAGAUUUUACUCUAGUAGAUUUUGUUCAGUUUUUUAUCAAGCCUAAAUUAAUGUUCUCCGAGGUCAUCAUUUUUGUUUAUUGUGACUAUAUUCCUUAUUCCUCUGAAGGAUAGAGUUAAGGAUAGUUUAAUUUGUUUAAAACUUGGGCUGAUUGCAACUUAUUUACAGGAUACGCUGAGUUUGAAACCUCCAAAGAAGUCACCCCUCGCGUUGAGAAUGGUUGUUCUCACCAUGACUAUGAUCUGUGGGGUGUUUAUUUGCUCAAUGUGUAUGAAGCAACUAGGAAGCGACAGCUGGUCAAGGAUAGUGAAGAUUCAAGUUGCAGAACAGUCCUGCAAUAAGUCUUUAAUUCCUCCUUCUGAGGUUCAGUUUGUGCAUUAUCCACAACCACUAAAUUACAGCAGGAAAGAAUGCAUCUGUACCCCUGUCCGCUUCUUUGCAAUUAUCUCAUCGCAGCGGUCUGGAAGCGGCUGGUUCGAAACCCUUCUAAACAGUCACAUAAAUGUUAGCUCUAAUGGAGAAAUCUUCUCGAAGAAAGAAAGGAGGAGUAAUGUUUCAUCUAUAAUAAAGACAAUGGACAUGGUGUAUAACUUGGAUUGGAAUAGUAGUGCUUCCAAGAAUGAGUGCACUGCUGCUGCUGGCUUCAAAUGGAUGCUUAAUCAGGGUCUCGUGGCAAAUCACGCUGCUGUGGUUGAUUACUUCAACCAAAGAGGAGUGUCUGUGAUAUUUCUGUUCAGAAGGAAUCUCCUCCGUCAGAUGGUAUCGCAACUAGCAAACAAUCAUGACAGAUACCUUAAGCAAUUAAAAGGAAAACACAAGGCCCAUGUGCACACAAAAGAUGAGGCGAAUAUACUUGCAAAAUACAAGCCCAGGCUCAACACAACAACAUUAUUGUGGAGUCUGAAACAGGCAGAUGAUUACACUUGCAAAGCUCUUGAAAACCUAAAGAGCGUCCGUCACAUUACAUUGUACUAUGAGGAUCUCAUCCAAAACAGAACUAUGCUUGUUGAGGUGCUGGAUUUCCUCAAAGUGCCAGCGAGGAAACUAGUCAGCCGGCAUGUGAAGAUACACACGAAACCACUGUCGGAUCAAAUUGAAAACUGGGAUGAAGUCUAUAAUGCCCUGAAUGGCACCAAGUUUGAAAGUUUCUUGAAUGCUGACUACCGAACAUGACAUUAUUCUGUCUGCACGUUUCUUGUUUAAUAUUGGUUCCUGUGUGUUUCUUUCUUUCUUUCUUUAUUUAUUUAGUUCUUUCUUUCUUAUUAAAAAGCUAGCCUAGGACGUGUCCGGAAAAAGUUUUGACAUGGGGAAUGGCGGGGUUUGCACGGUGGUUCACAAAUCGCAAGUUCUUUGAUAGGUUCCACUAAUUGUCUUGCUUGUUCUUUUCAUAUAUUUUUUUCUUCGAAACUGAUCAACGAGCUUCUAACCUCUUGCAUUCCACUGCUUAUUAUCACUUCUGCAGUCUUGCACAGAGUUUUUUUUUUUUUUACGAUUCUCCCUUGCAUGGAUGGAUAUCUCUAGCAGGUUCACAUUAGGGAGGUUUUUGACGCUGAUUCGUCUCUUUUCGACUUUUCCCAUGUUAAUUUAGACAUGCUGAAAUCUAAGUGAGCCGCUUCACUAAGUCCACUUCUGAGAAAUACAAUGCAAGUACAAAUCAUUCAAAAGAGGAAGUACAAGUACAAUGUAGGCCUGAAUAUUCCAGUGUAAAUAAGGCACACAUGGUGUCAGAUUAGGUGUUUGAUCCCUGUUGUGCUGGGCUGGAGGUACAGCAAGCUCCUAACCGUUGGACCCUGAUAUCCAACCAACGACUGGUUCUUGAUAUUUAGGACAUGUUUGGUUCAUGACUAAUUUGCUACAACUAAUCUUAGGCUAAACUGUGGCCGCCACAAAAAGCAUGGUGAACAAAAUGGCCACAAAAAGCAUGGUGUAUCUUGUUGUAUGUAAAGGAGUUCUUAUUUAGUUGGUUUCAAGAUCAUACUACUUGCAUUUUAACAUUGUAGCCUAUCCGUGGCAUGAACUAACUACAACCAUAUUUUUUUC